rnacentral:rRNA from 1 species
AUGGGGGAGUACGCGGCGGCCAAGACGGCGGUGUGGUGGGACAUCGAGAACUGCGCCGUCCCCCGCAACUGCGACCCCCACCUCAUCGUCCAGAACAUGAGCUCCGCCCUCGCCACCGCCGGCUACGUCGGCCCCAUCUCCGUCUCCGCCUACGGCGACACCAGCGGCAUCGCCCACAACGUCCAGCACGCCCUCUCCAGCACCGGCGUCUCCCUCCACCACGUCCCCGCCGGCAUUAAAGAUGCAAGUGAUAAGAAGAUCUUGGUUGACAUGCUGUUCUGGGCUAUUGACAACCCUCCGCCAGCGAAUUAUCUGCUAAUCUCUGGUGAUCGGGAUUUCUCUAAUGCCCUUCAUAAGCUUAAGAUGAGGCGGUACAAUAUUCUUUUAGCACAACCUCCAAAUGUGUCUCAAACGCUUACUGCUGCAGCAAAGAGUGUUUGGCUCUGGAGAAGCCUUGUGGCUGGAGAACCACCAUUAGCAGUGUCACCAUACAUAAGCAGCGCAUCAAGUGGCAAUAAGGAUGAUUUGGAUACGUCAAGGAACACUGUUCCAAAUUCUUCAGCAGCAGCACAAGAUACUAACCCUCAAGUGCAGAAUUCUUCUCAGCGUGAUUAUCAAAAUGGUGGUAAUGGGAAGGUAGAUAAGCAAUCCAAAGUGAAGCAACCUCGAAAAAAUCAGACAGACAAUGCAUCUAAACCAGCAGGCAAAAAGGAAAAUUCAGUUGAUGGAGUUGCUGAUAAUUCCAAAGGAAGCACUGCUAACCAACCAAGUCAGCCUUCUACACCAUCAUCAAGUUCUUCAUCUAGUCCUGAACGCCAGAAUAGGGCAAAGGUGAACCAGACAAGUAUACCUAAAAACCCACCCCUUUUCCUGCCUAAAAAGCCUGCAAAACCCACUAAUUCCCAUCAAAAGAGUGUUCCUCAUGACUAUUUUGGUAGUAAGAAGUCUGGUGUGUCAACUGAAUCUGCACAGAAAAAUGGUGCUCCUGAUUCUGGCAAUGGUAGUGGCCAUAAUCAUUCAAAACACCAUAACCAAUCCUCUCAGCCGCCAAGACCACAUAAUCCAGUGACUCCUCGUCCUCACAAUGGACCUGGUAAUUUCCACACAUCAAAUUUACAUAGAAGUAGUUCAUGUCCACCACAAGCUCCACAAGGUGGGCAUACUGGUGUUCCCACUUCACCAUUGCAGUCCUGGCCAAGUGCUCCUCCUCCCCCCUAUCAUGUCCCGCCAGUUAAUUAUCCUGAUAUGAGUCGGCUGAAUAUUUCUGGAUACCCAAUAGGGGCUCAUGACAACCAAGGUUCAAACGUCAGCUACCAUCCAAACUAUUCUGGUGCUGUUCAGCCUCCUUACAAUAAUUAUAGUUACAGACAUCCAACUCCACCUAAUAUAUCCAGCAACAUGCAAAAUGCUGGACAAUGGGGUGCAAACACUGGAUGUUCGCAGCCAUCUUCUGACUCUCAAAUUCUUAUAAGAAAUAUCUUAAGUGCUUUGGAAGUACUGAAGACUGAGAAGCUUGCACCAACCGAACAGCAUAUAUCAGAUUGUGUGCGUUACGGAGGUGCUAAUCUACCACAAUUUGAUGUUAAGAAGGCUCUUGAAGUUGCCAUUCAGCAUCAAGCCAUCGUAACGAAAAAGUUAGGACUUGUGUCAUUCUUUCUGGGAAAAGGUGAAAAUCUCUGGAAAUGCGUGAAUAUAAUGGAUACCAAUGCUAGGCACUCAAAAGAGACUCUAGAUACUGUUCAUAGGUACAUAUCUACCGCCCCUGGAUGCUCUGCGAUAAAGAACUCCCAAUCAAGUAUCACGCUGCAACUCUCUUGA